rfam:Rozella allomycis CSF55 unplaced genomic scaffold scaffold_972, whole genome shotgun sequence.
UCCGCAUUGGUCUAGUGGCUAGGAUUUUGCGCUUUCACCGCAAAGGCCGGGGUUCGAUUCCCCGAUGCGGAA